GGCCGCCCUGGUGCUGACGGUCUGGUUUGCCUCCCAGCUCUGCUAGCCGGGCUUUAGUAGUGCGCUUUCUCGCGGCUGUCAUAAGUACCACGCUGUUGACUGGGACACCGAUCUCCAAUUCUGUCCUUGAGGCAAUAAAGAUGUGGCGAAGGCCCGAGGUGAGGCCACUGCCACUGCACUUAGUCCUGCGACUCCCCUAAGGACGGGCCGAGGAAUGGCGGGCUAGCCACUUCCCAGUCCUGUCCCUACGGGGCAGAAAAAGGCUCGGCAUCCCGGGAUCCGGAGGGUCACUUCCCUCGCUGCAUCCCCAUUGUGCAACUGCCAGUCUAAAAAUUGAUAUAGGUUAAUCUCCUGGAGAAACUAGAGGCAGCCAGGGAGGAUGCUGUUGAACCAGUUAGGAGGCUGUUGCAAGAGAUCCCAGGAAAAGAUAAUGAUAAUGUGGACUUGGAAGAUGGCAGAGGAGUUGCAGAAAAGUAUCCAGAUUUUAAAGAUGUCCAGCUCCAACCUGGUUUCAUAGGCAGUGGUAAUACUGGAACAACCUCUUCUCCAAGAUUCUCAGGCAAUCAAAGGUAACAAACGUUCAUUGCAUGUAUAUGUGUUAUGGGUUAGUUUUCAUCAGUAUAAGUUUUAAAUUUUACUUAAAAUUUCCUUAGAAAUAAGAAGCUUUUUCACAAGUGACAAAACACAUUAAAAGCUUAUGGUAUGUGUGGUCUAUAUUUAUCUUCAUAUUUCAUUUACCAAUAAACGUAUUUAUUUAAAAAUGUUAUUUAC
rnacentral:lncRNA from 1 species